AUAUUUUGAAUUUUUUCGAGUUUUUCUACUAAUUUAUGUUCUGAGGCAUAACAAAAGAAAGCGUAAUCAAAAUUACUUCUAACAAGAGAUUUGUAAAGUAAAAGGAUAAUUUUAGGAUCAGCUCCCCAGUUACGACCAAUUACAGAUCUUAUUAUAUUAGUGGCUCUUAAAGCACGAUCUACUAAGCAAUCAACGUAUAGAUCCCAUUUUAAAUUUUGAUGAAAAAUUACCCCCAGAAAUUUAACGCUACAGUCUGUUGGAAGAGUUUGAUUAUUAUAUAUAAUAUUCAUUAAUGGAACAUAUUUAUGAACUUGAUGAAAAACAACUACUUUACUUUUGGUUAAACUAAUAUCGAGGGAAAGAAGAGAAAAAUAUUUCUCAAGUCUUUUUAAUGACUCAUUUAACACUAAUUGCAUAUCAAUAAUAUUCUUUCCUUUUAUAUAAAUUAAUAAAUCAUCGGCAAAUUGCAAGUUGUUCACACUGUUUCCUAAAAUUGAAUUAAGUUUAUAGAUAUAUAAAAUAUAUAGUAGCGGGCUUAGAAUACCACCUUGACAUACUCCUUUAGAGCUUAACCUAGGUCCUAUUAAUUUACUAUUUACUUUAACAUACACUUCUCUAUUACUAAGAAAAUUAUAAAUCCAUUCGAUAAGUUUCAUUGGAAGAAAUGAGGAUAAAAUCGAAGAUAGAACUGUUAAAUUUACAUUGUUAAAAGCUCCUACGACAUCUAAAAAAACAGAUAGAACAUAUUCAUCGUUAUUCAAAGCAGUACUAAGGUCGACAUAGAAGUUCGCUAAACUUUCGCGCGCUGAAUCUCCACGGCGAAAACCAAAUUGAUUCGAUGGUAAUAUACUAUUACUUUCAAUAAAGAACUCUAAACGCUGUUUAAUUAAUUGUUCGAAUAAUUUGCCUGCACAGGACGUCAAUGUUAUAGGUCUAUAGGAGUCGAAAUUUGUAGGAUCUUUACCGGGUUUAAUUACUGGAAUCAAACAAUCCAUUUUCCAUUCUGGUGGGAUAAUACAGUCCUUCCAUAAAUCGUUAAAAAUUUGUAAGAGUUUAGUAAGGUUUAUUUUAUUCAGCAAUCGAAACAUAUUGUAUGUUAAGCGAUCAAGGCCACUAGCUGUAUCUUUUCUAGAUUUUACUGCACUGGAUAUUUCAUCAAUUGAGAAUGGGUCAGUGAGAAAUUUUGGGCAUGAAUUAACAGAAUUAAACUGUUUGUCAUCAAAAGAUGAGUGUACAAAAUCAGGAGUAUAUUUGCGUAAAAAAUCAUUGACCCAUGAUAUAUCUUUAAAAUGAUUUUGACGAUGUUUUGAAUUUAGUUUUCUCAUAUUUUGCCAAACAGUGGAAAUUGGUGUUAAUCUAUUAAAUUUGGAACAAAAUUCCUGCCACCCCUGUUGUCUUACUUGCUUAAUUACUAACUUUUUAACAGCUUGAACUCUUUUAAAAUUUAUGUAAUUAUCGAGAGUUGGAUUUUGUUUAAACCUAAGGUAAGCCGCUUUACUAUCAUUGACAGCUGUCGCACACCUGUUAUUCCACCAAGGUACUGCAAUAUGUUUGUGCCUCUUUGAAGUAUUUGCACCGCUAUUUGAUAAGUUCCUACGUGGAACGGAACGUUCCACAGCUGUCAAAAUAAUUUUACAGAACCUAUUGUAAUUGUUUAAGGGUUCAUUGACAUCAUACUCGAAAUCCAAAAGUAAUCGAUUAACAGUUUCAGAAUAAAGAUCCCAAUUAACGAGACGUAGGUUUAUACGAUUUAACAAAAGUUUAUUAACUUCAUCUAUAGAAGCAUGUUGUUCACCUGACGGAGUUGAUGAAGAGUUCUUUGUGUUUAUUUUAGUAAAAGUCGGCAGAUGCUGCAACGCUCAGAAUUCUUACAGAAUUUAGCUAAAUGUCCAUACCUCAAGCACCGGUAGCAUUGUUUAACUGGUGGUAUAUAUGGAGUGACAUUGUGGCGCCAACCUCCAAUAUCCAGAUAUUCAGGUAAUACAGAUGCAGCAAAAGUAAUUGUCACGGUUAGAGUUGGCUGUAACACAUAUCCAUGAGUCAAGAUUCUGAGUCAGUAGAAGUAUCUUCCGAAUAUAUAUCCUUGUCAUUACAAGGUUCAUGGUCUACAUCACCUGAAUCGUCAUCUUUUUUUUUCCUUUUUCUACAACUGCGCUUCCCCAUGAAUGCUAAUUAUAUUACUGUCGCUGAAUUUAGUGAAAAUAUAAUAUUUUAUUCAAUAAUAAGAAUUGAUAGAGAUAGUUUUAAUAAAUUAAUAAAAAAAAUUUAAAAAACCCGCUUGUUCUUAUUCGAGUUUCCCGCCUUUUUCUGGCGUGCAGGUUUUGUUUUUUGACGUUAAAUAAAUGUUUACACUUUAAAAAAAUCUUGUGAGUAUAUAAAAAAAAAAAAUAACAUCGUCCUUUUGACAACAUUAAAUAAUUUUUUUAGUGAUUGUUUGUUUACAUUAAAAAAUGCAAAAAUAUAUUAACAGAUUAGUGGACUACUUGAGUAAAAUAAUAAUAGAUUCUUUUAGUCUCUAUUAAAAAUCUACCUACUUAUCUAUAUAAUGUAAAUAGAUUUUAACAGAGAUAAAGU